rnacentral:rRNA from 1 species
UGUAACGGGGCUAAACCAUGCACCGAAGCUGCGGCAGCGACGUUUAUGCGUUGUUGGGUAGGGGAGCGUUCUGUAAGCCUGCGAAGGUGGCCUGUGAGGGUUGCUGGAGGUAUCAGAAGUGCGAAUGCUGACAUAAGUAACGAUAAAGCGGGUGAAAAGCCCGCUCGCCGGAAGACCAAGGGUUCCUGUCCAACGUUAAUCGGGGCAGGGUGAGUCGACCCCUAAGGCGAGGCCGAAAGGCGUAGUCGAUGGGAAACGGGUUAAUAUUCCCGUACUUGGUGUUACUGCGAAGGGGGGACGGAGAAGGCUAUGUUGGCCGGGCGACGGUUGUCCCGGUUUAAGCGUGUAGGUGUGUGUUCCAGGUAAAUCCGGUUCACUUUAACACUGAGGCGUGAUGACGAGGCACUACGGUGCUGAAGCAACAAAUGCCCUGCUUCCAGGAAAAGCCUCUAAGCAUCAGGUAACAUCAAAUCGUACCCCAAACCGACACAGGUGGUCAGGUAGAGAAUACCAAGGCGCUUGAGAGAACUCGGGUGAAGGAACUAGGCAAAAUGGUGCCGUAACUUCGGGAGAAGGCACGCUGACACGUAGGUGAAGUGAUUUACUCAUGGAGCUGAAGUCAGUCGAAGAUACCAGCUGGCUGCAACUGUUUAUUAAAAACACAGCACUGUGCAAACACGAAAGUGGACGUAUACGGUGUGACGCCUGCCCGGUGCCGGAAGGUUAAUUGAUGGGGUCAGCGCAAGCGAAGCUCCUGAUCGAAGCCCCGGUAAACGGCGGCCGUAACUAUAACGGUCCUAAGGUAGCGAAAUUCCUUGUCGGGUAAGUUCCGACCUGCACGAAUGGCGUAAUGAUGGCCAGGCUGUCUCCACCCGAGACUCAGUGAAAUUGAACUCGCUGUGAAGAUGCAGUGUACCCGCGGCAAGACGGAAAGACCCCGUGAACCUUUACUAUAGCUUGACACUGAACAUUGAGCCUUGAUGUGUAG